rnacentral:rRNA from 1 species
GAUUAAGUUAUUAAGGGCGCACGGUGGAUGCCUUGGCACUAGAAGCCGAUGAAGGACGUUACUAACGACGAUAUGCUUUGGGUAGCUGUAAGUAAGCGUUGAUCCAGAGAUUUCCGAAUGGGGGAACCCAGCAUGAGUUAUGUCAUGUUAUCGACAUGUGAAUUCAUAGCAUGUCAGAAGGCAGACCCGGAGAACUGAAACAUCUUAG